GCCCGAGUAGUAUAACGGCAGUAUUGGGGAUUGUGGCUCCCUAGACGGGGGUUCGACUCCCCCUUCGGGCCCCA
rnacentral:tRNA from 1 species